AUUGAACGCUGGCGGCAUGCUUUACACAUGCAAGUCGAACGGCAGCACGGGCUUCGGCCUGGUGGCGAGUGGCGAACGGGUGAGUAAUAUAUCGGAACGUACCCAGCCGUGGGGGCUAACGUAGCGACAGUUACGCUAAUACCGCAUACGAUCUAUGGAUGAAACCCGGGGACCGCAAGUCCUUGUGCUCCUUGAUCUGCCGAUAUCUGAUUAGCUAGUUGGUGAGGUAAAGGCUCACCAAGGCGACGAUCAGUAGCUGGUCUGAGAGGACGACCAGCCACACUGGAACUGAGACACGGUCCAGACUCCUACGGGAGGCAGCAGUGGGGAAUUUUGGACAAUGGGCGCAAGCCUGAUCCAGCAAUGCCGCGUGAGUGAAGAAGGCCUUCGGGUUGUAAAGCUCUUUUGUCAGGGAAGAAACGGUAGAGGCUAAUAUCCUGUGCUAAUGACGGUACCUGAAGAAUAAGCACCGGCUAACUACGUG
rnacentral:rRNA from 1 species